UACGUAGGGUCCAAGCGUUAUCCGGAAUCACUGGGCGUAAAGCGUGCGUAGGCGGUUAUUCAAGUCAGAGGUGAAAGCCCGGGGCUCAACCCCGGAACGGCCUUUGAAACUAGGUAACUAAGUAAUCUUGAGAGGUUAGUGGAAUUCCGAGUGUAGAGGUGAAAUUCGUAGAUAUUCGGAAGAACACCAGUGGCGAAGGCGACUAACUGGACAAGUAUUGACGCUGAGGUACGAAAGCGUGGGGAGCAAACAGGG
rnacentral:rRNA from 1 species